rnacentral:snoRNA from 1 species
UAUUAUGAUGAUUAAACCUAUAAUAUAAUAACUUUCGUUCUACUGACUGCGAUCAAACGAUCUUGUAGAUAAUCUUUUUUUCUGACA